rnacentral:rRNA from 1 species
UACGGGGGGGGGCUAGCGUUGUUCGGAAUUACUGGGCGUAAAGGGCGCGUAGGCGGCCUACUAAGUCGGACGUGAAAUCCCUCGGCUCAACCGGGGAACUGCGUCCGAUACUGGUGGGCUCGAAUCCGGGAGAGGGAUGUGGAAUUCCAGGUGUAGCGGUGAAAUGCGUAGAUAUCUGGAGGAACACCGGUGGCGAAGGCGGCAUCCUGGACCGGUAUUGACGCUGAUGCGCGAAAGCCAGGGAGCAA